AUUGAACGCUGGCGGCAGGCCUAACACAUGCAAGUCGAACGGUAACAGGAAACAGCUUGCUGUUUCGCUGACGAGUGGCGGACGGGUGAGUAAUGUCUGGGAAACUGCCUGAUGGAGGGGGAUAACUACUGGAAACGGUAGCUAAUACCGCAUAACGUCGCAAGACCAAAGAGGGGGACCUUCGGGCCUCUUGCCAUCGGAUGUGCCCAGAUGGGAUUAGCUAGUAGGUGGGGUAACGGCUCACCUAGGCGACGAUCCCUAGCUGGUCUGAGAGGAUGACCAGCCACACUGGAACUGAGACACGGUCCAGACUCCUACGGGAGGCAGCAGUGGGGAAUAUUGCACAAUGGGCGCAAGCCUGAUGCAGCCAUGCCGCGUGUAUGAAGAAGGCCUUCGGGUUGUAAAGUACUUUCAACGGGGAUGAAGGGAGUAAAGUUAAUACCUUUGCUCAUUGACGUUACCCGCAGAAGAAGCACCGGCUAACUCCGUG
rnacentral:rRNA from 1 species